rnacentral:rRNA from 1 species
ACGGGGAGCAGCAGGCGCGAAACCUUUACACUGCACGCCAGUGCGAUAAGGGAAUCCCAAGUGCGCAGGCAUAGAGCCUGCGCUUUUGUACACCGUAGGGAGGUGUACGAAUAAGGGCUGGGCAAGACCGGUGCCAGCCGCCGCGGUAAUACCGGCAGCCCGGGUGAUGGCCGAUCUUAUUGGGCCUAAAGCGUCCGUAGCUGGCCGCACAAGUCCAUCGGAAAAUCCACCCGCCCAACGGGUGGGCGUCUGGUGGAAACUGUGUGGCUUGGGACCGGAAGGCGCGACGGGUACGUCCGGGGUAGGAGUGAAAUCCCGUAAUCCUGGACGGACCGCCGAUGGCGAAAGCACGUCGCGAGGACGGAUCCGACAGUGAGGGACGAAAGCCAGGGUCUCGAACCGGAUUAGAUACCCGGGUAGUCCUGGCCGUAAACAAUGCCUGCUAGGUGUGGCUCCCGCUACGAGCGGGUGCUGUGCCGUAGGGAAGCCGCUAAGCAGGCCGCCUGGGAAGUACGUCCGCAAGGAUGAAACUUAAAGGAAUUGGCGGGGGAGCAC